AACAGUUUUGACAUUGUUACGGCUGCUAGUCCUCGUUCUUCACUCUAAAAUCUGUUGCAAAGGGCACAAUACCUGUAGAGUUUUGUGACAAUUGAAAUGUUAAACAAUUUUUAACGAAGAAAGCUUUCUACCAGACGUACAGUAUAUCUGACCCACGAUGACCUACAAAAAAAAAGGAGUGUGGAAUUCAAUCUACAUUACCAUAAUGCAAAGGCAAUGUGACAGACGCAGUAAUGAAACGGUGGACGCGUUUUACAACUUUCGAUUUUGUUUAUUCGAUCUAACUUUGAGAUUAAAAUAAAUACUUUCGAUUUCUUCCUU